rnacentral:siRNA from 1 species
CUUUUGGUGUUGUUAUCUAGACA